rnacentral:lncRNA from 1 species
GUUUCAUAAAAAGAGAUUGAUAAGAAACUCUUGAUGCAACUCAUUAUAAUUUUAAAAUGGAAACUAAUUCUUGAUAUUACCUUAGCAGUGUGUCCCCGAGAAAGUGUCAGAGCCUUUACCUGGACCUUCGCAUGAAAAAGGAAACAGAAUAGUCAAUGGACAAGGAGAAGCCUAGCACUGGAGUGGAAGAUCCUGCUGUGAAAGGAGCAGUACAAAGAAAGAAUGUACAGACAUUGAGAGCAGAUCCAGGAAACAGAACUUUUAAAACAAAAUCCCCAUAUGUGGCUGGGCGCGGUGGCUCGUGCCUGUAAUCCCAGCACUUUGGGAGGCUGAGGCGGGCAGAUAACCUGAGGUUGGGAGUUUGAGACCAGCCUGACCAACAUGGAGAAACACAUCUCUACUAAAAACACAAAAUUAGCUGUGCAUGGUGGCACAUACCUGUAAUUCCAGCUACUCGGGAGGCUGAGACAGGAGAAUCACUUGAACCUGGGAGGCAGCAGUUGUGGUGAGCUGAGAUUGCACCACUGCACUUCAGCCUGGGAAGCAAGGGUGAAACUCCAUCUCAAACAACAACAACAACAACAACAACAACAACAACAGCAGCAGCAGCAACAACCACCACAAAACCCAAAUGCAUUUCCUUGGCACAGUAAAACUGAAACAGAAAAAGUGUAAAGUAAAUACAAGUAACUGAAACAGUUUAUGUAUAUUAUUUUACUUCUCAUUUGAUAAAAUUUGUAAAGUAAUGAGCAGAGUGUAUUUCUCCAGGGACCCAGAUAUAUACAUUUAUUCAUUCAAUAAAAAUUCAUUCUUAUAAUGACCACUGAUACUUGUAUCCUAAAUAUUUCUGAAAACAUCUCCUCAGGACUGCAUCAUCUUUGCAACACUGCCUUAUAUUUUAUCUUUGUUCAUUGAUUUAUAUGCCUCAGAAUUUUAUGCUCCUCACAAUAAUUAGAGUUAAUUAUCUCUAAUGCAAAUAGAUCUGUGAACAACUCCUGAAUACCUAUGUCCAAGCAUCUUAAAGUUUUAUAUAAGGAUUUCAGAAACUGAUUUCUGGGUUGGGCAUGGUGGCUCGUGUCUAUAAUCCCAGCACUUUGGGAUGCUGAGGCAGGUGGAUCAUUUGAGGUCAGGAGUUCAAGACCAGCCUGGCCAACAAGGCGAAACCCCA